rnacentral:rRNA from 1 species
GGAGAGUGCAAGCGUUAAUCGGAAUUACUGGGCGUAAAGCGCACGUAGGUGGAUAUUUAAGUCGGAUGUGAAAGCCCUGGGCUUAACCUAGGAAUUGCACCCGAUACUGGAUAUCUAGAGUAUGGUAGAGGGUAGUGGAAUUUCCGGUGUAGCGGUGAAAUGCGUAGAUAUCGGAAGGAACACCAGUGGCGAAGGCGGCUACCUGGAUCAAUACUGACACUGAGGUGCGAAAGCGUGGGGAGCAAACAGGGAUUAGAGACCCUGGUAGUCCACGCCGUCAACGAUGAGAACUAGCUGUUGGGAGGGACUUCCUCUUAGUAGCGAAGCUAACGCGUUAAGUUCUCCGCCUGGGGAUACGGCCGCAAGGUUA